GGGAGACAUUACUGUCUCUAAGACUGAAAGGAGGUGGGUGAUAAUGUACCAGAAGCUUCAGUGGGGAGCCUGGAGGAACUGUCACUAUGGAGAGAGGAGAACCUUUCCAGGGGGCAUAUAUCAAGAAAGGACACCUCUACAGGAAGACUGUUGAAGUAUUCCUGGUGUGGCUCCUGCUUCAGCUCUCCUGGGCUCUGCAACAGCAGAUGGGGUGUGAGACCGUUGACUGCCGCGUCCCACAAACCUCCUUUUCGUAAACUACUAUAUUAUUUAUGAAUCAGGAAAAGUUUCACAGAAGGCCCCAUUUGAUGACUGCUCGCCGAAGAUCGAGCAGCAGAGAGACUUUUAGUCUCAUUUACGAGCUGGUUGGACAGAACUUUUAGUAUUUCAGAGUCUGGAUUUGUCAGCUGGUUCAUAUGCCUGUCACUCGGCACCAUGUAUUCAC
rnacentral:lncRNA from 1 species